GACGGAGGGGGCUAGCGUUGUUCGGAAUGACUGGGCGUAAAGGGCGCGUAGGCGGUUUUUUAAGUGAGGCGUGAAAGCCCUGGGCUUAACCCAGGAGGUGCGUUUCAUACUGGAAGACUUGAGUGCGAGAGAGGAAAGUGGAAUUCCUAGUGUAGAGGUGAAAUUCGUAGAUAUUAGGAAGAACACCGGUGGCGAAGGCGCUUUCUGGCUCGCAACGUGACGCUGAGGCGCGAAAGCGUGGGGAGCAAACAGG
rnacentral:rRNA from 1 species